GGACUGGAGGAUCCACACUGCAGACUGGAGAAACUCAAUGUGGAACAUGGUGGAGAGUACACAAUGAAACCUGGGCUUAAAAAAUGUGAGUGUUGGCUGCUGUGAAGAAUAUGACUAAGAAUAAGUCUUAAUUCAAGUUAAGUCAAAGUCA